rnacentral:misc_RNA from 1 species
AANUGAGGAAAUANNGGAGGNAGUAGUGGGACUCCUAUGGGAGGUAGUAUCCCCACAGUUGGAGGAGAAAAAANGCUGGNGGNGUGGCUCAGAAAGAANGCUGGAGGNCCAUUCCUACGGGAGGCAGCAGUGGGACUCCUACGGGAGGCAGCAGUGGGACUCCUACGGGAGGCAGCAGUGGGACUCCUACGGGAGGCAGCAGUGGGACUCCUACGGGAGGCAGCAGUGGGCCCCACUCCUACGGGAGGCAGCAGUG